GUGCUCACUUUGGCAGCACAUACACUAAAACUGGAACGAUACAGAGAUUAGCAUGAACCCUGUGCAAGGAUGACGUGCAAAUCUGUGAAGCAUUCCAUAUUGUU